AGUGGGAUAGCUGGGUAAUCUGGUGGAUGAAUUGCUAGUCUUUUGAGGAAUUUCCAUACUGCUUUCCAAAAUGGUUGUAUUAAUUUCCAUUCCCACCAACAAU
rnacentral:pre_miRNA from 1 species